CGCCUUUUAAGGGCACCGUGGGGCGAACGGAGCGCUCAGAGCUGCUCCGGCCGCGGCCCAUGGAGCUGUAGGAGCCGCG
ensembl:miRNA